GACGAACGCUGGCGGCGUGCUUAACACAUGCAAGUCGAACGGAAAGGCCCUGCUUGCAGGGUGCUCGAGUGUCGAACUGGUGAGUAACACGUGUGUGAUCUGCCCCUUACUUUUUGAUAAGCCUUGUAAACUGUUUCUAAUACUUGAUAGUACCAUGCUGUAUGUGUUUUGGUGGUAAGUUUAUUUUCGGUAAGGGGUGAGCUCGGGGCCUAUCAGCUUUUUGGUGGGGUAAUGGCCUACCAAGGCGUCGACGGGUAGCCGGCCGGAGAGGGUGGACGGAAAGAUUGGGACUGAGAUAAGGCGCAGAAUCCGACGGGAGGCAGCAGUGGGGAAUAUUGCACAAUGGGAGAAAGCCGGAUGAAGAGAAGAAGCGUGGGGGAUGACGGAAUUCGGGUUGUAAACUACUUACAGCAAUGAAGAAGAACUUGUGGUGACGGUAGUGGUAGAAGAAGCAACGGCUAACUACGUG
rnacentral:rRNA from 1 species